rnacentral:rRNA from 1 species
UGGGGAAUUUUCCGCAAUGGGCGUAAGCCUGACGGAGCAAUGCCGCGUGGAGGUGGAAGGCCUACGGGUCGUCAACUUCUUUUCUCGGAGAAGAAACAAUGACGGUAUCUGAGGAAUAAGCAUCGGCUAACUCUGCGCCAG